UUUUGAGAUAACAUAUGGACAAUUUGUCCGGAUUUUAAUUGCUGUACAAAAUUUCAGACAAUUUGGUUUAGUUUAAGCCCCUUAACUAUUCACGCAAAGUUACAAUUUUCCCGAAAAAUCAGCUAUUUGCAUGCUUAAUUAAUGCAUUUGCCUAAUUUGCAUAUGUCAGCAAUAUGCAAAUUAGGUAAAGGCAUUAAUUAAGCAUGCGAAAGGCUGACCUUUUAGAACAAAAUGAAUAGUUAAAGGGCUUAAACUAAACCAAAUUGUCUGAAAUUUUGUACAGUAAUUAAAAACCCGACAAAUUUUCAAUCUAUUAACUCAAAAUAUGAUUACAGCUUUUAAAUUUUGUGCGCGAGCCAUUUUUAGUUUGUUGCAAAAGACACACCCCCCUGGUUCACAAAAUUUGAGAUCGAGAAAUUUUUUUCAAUAUUUUACAUUAUAAGUACCCAAAGAAGCUAUAUAUAUAAAAAACCAGAUACAAAUAGGUGUUUUGCGAAAUUGAGAG